rnacentral:rRNA from 1 species
GAUGAACGCUGGCGGCGUGCCUAAUACAUGCAAGUCGAGCGAACAGACGAGGAGCUUGCUCCUCUGACGUUAGCGGCGGACGGGUGAGUAACACGUGGAUAACCUACCUAUAAGACUGGGAUAACUUCGGGAAACCGGAGCUAAUACCGGAUAAUAUAUUGAACCGCAUGGUUCAAUAGUGAAAGACGGUUUUGCUGUCACUUAUAGAUGGAUCCGCGCCGCAUUAGCUAGUUGGUAAGGUAACGGCUUACCAAGGCGACGAUGCGUAGCCGACCUGAGAGGGUGAUCGGCCACACUGGAACUGAGACACGGUCCAGGCGCCUACGGGAGGCAGCAGUAGGGAAUCUUCCGCAAUGGGCGAAAGCCUGACGGAACAACGCCGCGUGAGUGAUGAAGGUCUUGGGUUCGUAAAACUCUGUUAUUAGGGAAAAACAAAUGUGUAAGUAACUAUGGACGUCUUGACGGUACCUAAUCAGAAAGCCACGGCUAACUACGGG